GAAAGCUGGCAAGAGGGAUGCAGUGAGCUGUCAGGGUGCUUGUUCUCCUCUCGUCCACCUCAGACCUCCUCCACCCACCAAUCAGACAAGGGCACGGCAGCCACCGAUCACAGACUGCUCACUGCAUAUGCGCGAUGCACUAGGGACUGCUUUACAGGAAGAGAUGGCUGCCGUUGCUUAGGGGCUUGUUUGUUGGUGGAAUUUUAUUUUUCAACUUGAUAUAUCGGGAGUCAUCUGGGAAGGGAGCCUCAAUCAGAGAAGCUCAUCCACACGCUGGUCUGUGGACAGAGCCAUUUUCUUGACGGAUGACUAAUGUGGGAGGAAUGACUACUGUGGAGUGGGCCAUCCUGGGCUUACACAAGAGAGCAGGCUGAGCAAAACAUGCAGAGAAGCCAGCAAGCAGCACUCCUCCACAGUCUCAGUGUGGCUGCUGCAUUGGCCUCCCUCGGUAUUCACUAAGCAACAACAAAAGACAAGACAAAACAAACAACACAGAGACCUUUCCUUCCCAGGCUGCUUUUGGUCCAAGUGCUUCACCACAGCAACAGGAAGCAAACAGAGCAUAGCAGCUAACCAGUGAGUGCCAGACUUAGCCUGCACACCUGAGGUAUGUGUUUAACCUCAAACUUGAGAGCUUAGAAGACAUCUUCUGAACUCAGGCACUACUGCCUUGGUCAGUACAAAGCCAGGGGUCAGGAGUUGGAGGUCAUCCUUAUCUACAGAGUUAUGGAGCCAGCCAGGGCUACAUAAAACCCUAGGUAUUCCCAUGUUUGAAAAAAGACUAAUUUACUUUGAGAAUCAGAAAUGGGCAUUGUUUUGUAGAGUCCGACUACCCAGGCUUGGAGCUAAGUGUCCAGAGCUGUGCCUUAGUAUUAACUGUACAAGGUCAGCUCUGUCAGGACAGCUAGUGAAAGGGUCAGAGUUAUAGUGUUUUUGUUUAAAACAUUCUUUCUGGUCGGGUAAUGGUGGCACACACCUUUAAUGCCAGUAUUCAGGAGCCAGCAGCUGGUGGAUUUCUGAGUUCGAGGGUAGCUUGGUAUGCGUGUGUGUUUGUGCAAGCAUGCACACACACGUGUAGGUGUGUAUGUGUGUGUGUGUGUGUAUUUCCAUUUAAUUGUAUUUCUUUUUGAUUGACAGAGAGUCUCAUGCAGCCUAAGUGGGACUGAUACCUAUUAUAAAACCAAGGAUUACCUUGAACUCCUGACCCUGCCUCUACCUCCCAAGUGUUGGGAUUACAGGUGCAUGGCAGCAUAACUAGCUUUACUUUUCUGUUAAGCACUUGCAGUAGUAUCUUUAUGUGGCCUAAAGCUCAGUAUGUGUCUCGGGUUGGCCUCGGGUUCAUGAUCUUUUUUCUAACAGCUAGGAUUAUAGGUAUUCCCCAACUCCUGGUUAUUUGGAAAUUGUCUGGACAUAUUUACUACAAUAUCUGCUCUUUCACCCUGCUCCCUCUAACACCAUAAUCUUAUGCCAGUAUAUCUAACCAGGAAGGUAACAGCAAUGCAUUAGCUUACCCACAGCCAUUCGGCAUUUGAAUUGUAUCAGUUUUCCCUUCUCUAAUGAGGUCAACUGGUCAGUCUGCACUGGGGUUAGACUUCACUCUAGUGAUAAGUCCCGUAGACCUAGGUAAGGAUGAAGAGUCGCCAUAUCUUCACCUUCUCUACUCCUGAAGCAGAGCAGACCCAAAAGCCCAGGGAGGUCAGGGGUCCCUCCUGGUCCAGGCAAGCAGAAGCCAAAGAUCUGUCACGUUGGCAUGUGGCCCAUGGUUCCCUGGACUUCAGAACAAUCCUGAUGCUCAGAGAACUCAAGAAUCAGUUUGGGGCUGGAGAGGUGGCUCAGCGGUUAAGAGCUCUGACUGCUCUUCCAGUGGUCCUGAGUUCAAUUCCCAACAACCACAUGGUGGCUCACAACCAUCUGUAAUGGGAUCUGAUGCCCUCUUCUUGUGUGUCUGAAGACAGCUACAGUGUACUCACAUACAUAAAAUAAAUAAACAGAUCAUUUAAAAAAAACUCAGUUUGGUUGAGAGAAGAGCCAAGGCAGACAAUGUGUUCUCCUCCAUCUGACAUGAGGGAUGGCACCUGAAAGGCGUCACUAGUCACGCAUAAGCUGCUCCCUCUGCUCCCUCCUCUCAGUGACCCUAAGAACUAUUAUUGCUAAACUGUGAUUGGUUAGGUCGGGCCUUCAAUUCCAGGAUUUGGAAGCAGAAGCAGGGAGAUCUCGAUGCAUGAGGCCACCCCGGUCUACACUUCAAGUUCUGGGGCAGCCAAGGUUACACAGUGAGAAAAAACAAAACUGUGAUCCAUUAGUAGGCGUGAAGAGGCACUACCACCAAGGAGGAGCUCUUAUAGGACAGGCCGGGGGUGGGGGUGGGGCUAGGAGACAUGAAACAGCCCUUCACCUUACCUGUUUUCCUCGCCCUGUCUGAAAAGGGAUUUAAGGAGUUUGGGAUGUUACUAAAGUAGCAAAGAGUGCUGGUAACUACACUCUGACUCAGAUACUUAAUAGGUCCUGGUCAUUUGCCUCCCAAAGAGUGACUGACAGGCUCUGUCCUGUCCCCUGUGGUAGUGGGCAGCGACUCUCCUCAGGUUCCCCUGUCCUAAGCCCGGGACGGCGUAAAGGAAUACCUGCUAAGGACAGAGACUGGUUCUGAAGCCCAGAAAAGAUUAGAGAACCACACUGGGCCCUUAUCUAUCCCAGGUCUAUCACUCAAGUAUCACACAAGGAUAUUUGCAGGGGACAGAGUGGUAAGAACAGAGAAGGAGCAGCUAGAGGAUCCCAGGGGCGUAGGGAGUCAAGGGCAGGGUUGGGGAGACCAUACCAUCCUUCAGCUUCUCGUCCUGGGGGAGGGGCCCGUCUGGAAGCACAUCGGCAGCAAUGAGCACUGUCCGGGAGUCCUCCAGCACCUGAAGGAACCCCGUCUCGGCUGAGUGGCUUUGUGGAGCCCUUCACAACUUAGAUCCAGCCCCAGUUACCCGAAUCCCACUCCACUCUCCUACCUACGCUUCAUGUCCUCGCUGAGCACCGUCCCCUUCAGAGGACCCUACGCCAUGCUCCCACUGAACCCCUGUCCUGCUGUGAGCUGCCCUGCUUCCUGACACACCUUAAAGAGUCCCUUAAGCAUGACAUCGAGGAUCUUGUACUGCUGGUGGAUGUCGUUCAGCUGAGCCAGAUUCUUCAGCGCCAACAGCUGCUCUCGACGCUUCACCUCAAACAUCUUCUUGUCUGAGCAGCAGUAAGUUAAGGAGCAAAACCCAGUUCAAUGGCCCUGACUCAGAGGGCCCACGCAUUCCUAACCUGUGCCACUAAAGCUGUGGGUGGCCACAGCUGGGAUGCCCUGGGAAGGACAAACUGCCUGUGAAGUACAUGGGACCUGUAAUGAACCAUUUCUCUAGAUCUCAAAGACUCUGCACACAGAAGAGAGACCAAGUCCAACACUCCAAACCAGGCAACUGCCCUUCUGUUUCCUGUCAUCUCUCACACAAUCAUUCACUGUUCCAGAACCUCCAACAGUGUUUAAACUAUAGCGUCAGCCACAUGCCCCCACCAUUCUCCUGGAAAUUUCAGUUCUCAAGACCUUGCUCAGUAGGACCAUAGCACAGUGCUGUCCCAAGACCUCCUGUAUCCAUCUGAGGCUCUGGUCACAGGAACAAGGUCAUCUGUUUGGAUGCUGUGGUGAUUUAAAUGAGACUAGCCCUCACAGGCUCGUAUUUAAAUGUUUAGUUCCCUGUUCACAAGAAAACAGGGCAGCUCACAGCAGGAUGGGGCUUCAGAAGAGUUAUGGAAGGAUGAGUAGGGGUUCUCUAAAGGGGACAGUGUUCAGUGAGGGAGGGAGGGACAGGGUUAGGAGGUAAGGCCUAGUUAGAGGUAUAACACUGGAGAAGGGCUUUGCGGGUUCAAAACCCAUACCAGGCCCAGUCUCUCUCUGCCCCUCACCUAGAGAUUGGGAUGUAAUCUCUCAACUACUGCUCCAGCACCAAGGCUGCCUGUCUGCUCCCAUCCCAGCAGGAUGACCAAGCACUAACCCUCUGAAACCAUAAGCAAGCCCCUGACCAAAUGCUUCCUUUUAUAAGCUGCCUUGGUCAUGGUUUCUUUCUCUUCACAGCAACAAAACAGUAACUGAUACACAGACUUGGUGGCUCCAUAGAUCCCUUAAAACCCGGGACGGUCCUGUCUCAUCUUUGGGUUGCCAAGGCAUGGCUCAAAGGACCAGGCAAGAUGAGCUGGUAAUCCAAAGUUCUGGAGGGGCUGUGUGAGGACUUAGUCAGGUACUGCGCAUGGACAGUCCUAAGCCUCUGCAGAUCUGAGGGAUGGAGAACAGGCUCAGGAGAAAACUGACAUGCUCAGUCUGACUGGAGCUCGUUACCUCCUCCCUCCUACGCUUACCAACUUUGUCCACUCACCCCUGGGAUCCCCCAAGGAGUUAUGGAUGCUGAGAGAUCUCAUUCACCAGCCCUUCUGGUUCUUUUUUUUUUUUUUUUUUUCGGAGCUGGGGACCGAACCCAGGGCCUUGCGCUUCCUAGGCAAGCGCUCUACCACUGAGCUAAAUCCCCAACCCCUUCACCAGCCCUUCUAAGACAGCUAACUCACACCCCACCCAAGUCCGAGAGAGAUACAAAUUUUGAGGCUGGGGUCCAGAGUGCUCUUCAGGGUGCCUGUGACUUCUGUGCCAGGCAACAGCAGGACAAAGAAGACUGCCAAGGACUGAAGCAGGUCCAUAUCUGAGACUCUGGACCUAGAGGAACAACUCAAAGACAGGGAGUGAGUUUAGUGAAAACACACUUCCCCAGCCUCCGAAUGCCAGGCAUCCAGCUCUGGGAGGCCCCUGAAGAUCUAGCCAGGGCUGCUGGCUAGCAGGCACACAGUACAGGCCUACAGGACUGCAGGAGAGGGGAAGGAAGAGACACUUUAGCAAUGCUUACAACACUGGACAGGGAUUGAGGCUAGAGCUCUAGGUCGGAGUCUUGACUACAUCUGCCUUGUUCCUGGGCUAGCGCCCUGGUUCUCCGAGCUAUAGCUUCCUUUGUGUAGCUUCCUAUAAAACAGGCCAUAGGAGGUCCCUUUCCUAAUGCAGAGCUACAGGUCUGGACAAUGUACUACAUCUGGAGAAAGGGGCCGGGCAAUAAAAAUCUGUCAGUCAAGGAGUCUGGGACAGUGAAAAUGUAUGUAAGACUUGUGUGGUUUCCCUCCUUCUCCAACCUCCUCUGACAUGAGAAAGAAGGGACACAGGAUGGGAAGGGAAGCAGGGAAGACUUGGAGACUGCAUCCAUUCACUCGGGAACCACAUGCAGCAUCUGUUCCUAUUCCAACAACAGCCUACCGUUAUUGAUCAAUGUCCCACGCUCUUAUAGAGCUGAGAACAAGGAGUAAGGAACUCCCUGAACUUGUACUUUGUCCCUUGAAUGGGUGAGAGACAAUCAACAAACAUAUAAGCAUAAAAGGACGAGGCAGGGCAGAGGGGAUGAUUUGGUAGGUAAAGUUGGAACCCGAGUCUGACCCCCAGCACCAUGUAUAAACUGGGCACAGUGCGUGCUUGUGGUCCCAGAGCUGAGGAGCUGGAGACACAACUAUCACUGGGGCUUGCCAGGCAACUAGCCUGCCUGAAUCUAGAAGCUGCAGCUUCAGUGAAAGGCCCUGUCUCAACAAAUAGGAAUAGAAUUAAGAAAGAUACCCAGUAUGGACCUCUGGCCUCCACAUGCACACACUGAGGUAUACACGCAUGAACACACACACACAGUUGUUUUUGGAUUUUUUUUUAAGGGUGAGAGGGAUUUGGUCAAGUAAAACAUUAAGUGGGGUCCAGGAGUAGUAGCUCGUGACUUUAAUCCCACCACUUGGGAGGUUGAGCUGGAGAAUUUCCUUAAGUCUGAAACUAAUCUAGGUCUUGCCUAAAACUCCACAAGGAACAGGAUGCAGUGGAAAAUGACAGACAACGGAAGCCUCAUACUCAGAUGAUACCCAGUUUUACUAAUGUGGAAACUGAAAGACAAAAAAAAAAAAAAAAUUGACUAUUCAGUCUUACAGCUGUUCCGAGACUGAGCCAAAAGUCUUUCUCUCAGCUCAAUGCGCUGUCUCUUGUCUCUAAAUAAGCACAGGGCACCUUCUAUCAACGCUGGCCACUCCCCCACCCAGAAUUUGAGAUGCUCAGAAAGAGACAGUUAAGAGAACCCCUGUCUCCACGAAGACGGGACAGCAGAAGUCUACAGAAAGACUCCAAGAUCAUCCAGGACCUUCUGCCUCACGUUCCAGAACCCAAGGGAACCUGAACCAGGCCACAGCAAAACCUUGGGAAACAGAAAUUUACCAGACAACCUAGGAUAAGAUAACUCAAGCAGGACAAACGUGAGAAAGCAAAGUAGCGGACCGUGGCGGGACAGGUCUGGUUUUCUUUACUGUUUGUUACUCUACUCUUCGGUCUCUAAAUCUCACUUCGGUCCCGAGCGUCCCCAGAACUCUUUCAGGCUCGGCAAGCGACUCCGAACUCGUCUUGUAGAGCCAGUGGUAGUGGCCGGGCAGCGGUCCGUUCCGCGCCUUGGGGCUUCGGAGGAGCUAGCGAGCCCUUCUAGGAGGUGUCCGAGUCCCGAAACCCGCACACAGUGCGGAGGGCUCCGCACUCCCCUCCCAUGAAGCCUACAGUACCGUCCGGCUCCCCAGCCCUCACCUACCCAGGCUAGCGGUGUAAGAAGAGAGCAGCCCCUCGGCUUGCAGCCGGAAGCGCCCAACUCCGGCAAGGCACGGAACACUGGAGCAGCUGGCCUCAGUGCUAGGAGACCGACAAGUCGCUGUCCCACCCAUUGCGCUGCUCCUGACCAAUGAGACCGGGCCGCGACCGCCGCGCUCCGCUGACUUCACUUCCGGCUCCGCCCCUGCUGUGCUCCGGCGCCGGGAGCCGCAGCUGUUGGCAACCGCAUGGUCCUGGGGAAGGCAGAGCUGGGCACGCUGGUGAUCUCGGUUCUGGUAGAGUUGGAGGAAGUUAAGCUAGGGAUGGGGCCUUUACCCUGCUUAAAGCGCGUCAGCAAACCCCGGCCGGAAACCCUGGCUGCCCGGCCCUUUGAACGUAGUGUCUGAUUUCUCAUCCGAGUCAAAUCUUAAACACCAGUUCGCAAGAUCCAAGGAACUAGCAGAAUCCGUAGUGCGGAGCGCGGGCAUCCCGUACUUGCCUAUCCUGUCCACUGAUUUCUUUCUUUUUUUUUUUUUUUCCGGAGCUGGGGACCGAACCCAGGGCCUUGAGCUUGCUAGGCAAGUGCUCUACCACUGAGCUAAAUCCCCAACCCCUCUGUCCACUGAUUUCUAAACCAGAGUUCUUCGUCUGUUUCUAUCUCUUGCUCCGGGGUGGGGAUUGAGGGUGUCAGGACAGCCGGAUCCCGGGAAGACAGGUGGAGCGGCCAGUAAGCACAGAAAGCCCAGGCUGGGCUGAUAAACACUAACAGGUGCGGGCAGAGUUGUCUGCCAGCAGCCAGCGACGGGUUAAAUGACCAUUGCCCACAAGAAGAUAGAAAAGGGCUUUGAGAAGGCUGGCUUGAGCCAGGGGAACUGAAAUGGGAGACAGACUGAGGGUUUGAUUUUUUUUUUCCCCCUGAGAUUUAUACCUCUCCCCAUGCCCAGUGGAGGUGAAGUACCUCUCAAAAGUCCAACCACAGGGCUUGGGGCCCUUGAGGUUGGGGCCUUCCCAGCUCAGGGGUUCUUCAUGUCCUUUAUGUAUAACUUUAGCACUUUGCACAGGCUCCUUAAGAGCUGUCACUCUCCACUCUGUCUCUCCAUCACGUACUGAAACAAGCCAGUGUCCGAUGAGUGGCUGAAGAACAAGUGCGAGGAAGAGAUCUCCAGCACAGUGAUGGUGAACUCCUGGUCUCCUGCCGCCACCCCGCAAAGGCGGGGAUUUCAGCCUCGUGACACAAAGGCUGCUCUGACAGAAGCACUAGUCUCCUGAGAGGAAGCCCUCCCUUCUGUUGUCCUGAGAACAGGAGUUCCCACUGCCGGGGUCCAAUCAGCAACAGCCUUACCUGUACCAGGAGGUUCUGGAGCCCAAUCAACAGGGAUAGCACUUGUGAUGUUCCCAGUGGAGCUAGGACAUCAUCUUCAGGAGCUGACAGUGGUUGACCCCCUGAGGGUACCCAGGCCACAAAGGCAGAGGAAAAGCUUUGUUGCAAGGCCGUCCGCAGGAAUCGUAGGAUGGCAGCUGGAAACACAAGAUUCCUGACACUAAGAUCGUCCUCCUUCCCCAUCUUCUACCCACACAGAAGCGAUGCUGAUAAGCAGUUAUGGCCUUGAGGGGGUAGGGGUGGGGGUUGGGGGGUAGCUGGUCCUAUCUCAGAAUCCAGGGAAAGGCUUUUCUCUCCUACUGGGAAGUCCAUACGGUACCUGACAGCAAUGCCGACUUUUUUGGAAAGCUGAGAGCCUUCAAUACUUGGUUCAGUUCCACAGAUAAUGUCUGAUGGACCUGGUGGAGAAGUGGAAAGGGCUCCAUCUAAUCAGUGUUCUGGGAGCGUGGGCACCUUGGCCCACUUCCCACUGCACCUGUUACAUGAAGUCAGGGAGGUGACACAGAGCCCUCAGAGCCAUACUGUCCUGCUUGAGGAGGGCAAGCAAGCCUGUACCCAGAGACCUGAGUCCUCUCUGAAGCUCAGCCUCACUGGGCUCAGUCUCUGGCUCUCCUCACCUAACUCAGAAGACCACAAGUCCCACAGGCCAAAUCCAAAUCUUCGCUCUAGCCAAGUGUGGUGCCUCAUGCCUAUCACCCCCUUGAGAGAGGAGGAUUGUUAGUCUGAGACCAGCCUGAAUUACUUAACGAAUUGCUAUAUAACUAAGUAAAGAAUGCUGGCUAGGGCUGGAGAGAUGGCUCAGUGGUUAAGAGCACUGACUGCUCUUCCGAAGGUCCUGAGUUCAAAUCCCAGCAACCACAUGGUGGCUUAUAACCAUCUGUAAUAAGAUCUGAUGCCCUCUUCUGGUGUGUCUGAACAGCUAUAGUGUAAUAUAAAUAUAAUAAAUAAAUCUUUAAAAAAAAAAAAAA